AGCAGCCGCGGUAAUUCCAGCUCCAAUAGCGUAUAUUAAAGUUGUUGCAGUUAAAAAGCUCGUAGUUGAAUUUCGGGAUCAAUUAAUCGGUCGUGCCCCUGGUACGCACUGGUUUUAUUGGUUUCUCCCUUCUGACGAACCAGGAUGUCAUUAAUUUGGUGUCUUGGAGAAUCAGGACUGUUACUUUGAAAAAAUUAGAGUGUUUAAAGCAGGCUAACGCUUGAAUACAUUAGCAUGGAAUAAUGAAAUAGGACGUUUGAUCCUAUUUUGUUGGUUUCUAGGAUCGACGUAAUGAUUAAUAGGGAUAGUUGGGGGCAUUAGUAUUCAAUUGUCAGAGGUGAAAUUCUUGGAUUUAUUGAAGACUAACUACUGCGAAAGCAUUUGCCAAGGAUGUUUUCAUUAAUCAAGAACGAAAGUUAGGGGAUCGAAGACGAUCAGAUACCGUCGUAGUCUUAACCAUAAACUAUGCCGACUAGGGAUCGGAUGAUGUUAAUUUUUUAAUGACUCAUUCGGCGCCUUA
rnacentral:misc_RNA from 1 species